GCUUAUCACCAUUCCAGAUUGAAUAUACCCGAUCUCGUCUGAUCUCGGAAGUCAAGCAAUGUCGGAGCUUGGUUAGUACUUGGAUGGGUGGCCGCUUGGGAAUACCAAGUGUGAUAAGCA
rfam:Ciona savignyi cont_51538, whole genome shotgun sequence.